GUGCUCGCUUCAACAGCACAUAUACUAAAAUUGGAAUGAUACAGAGAUUAGCAUGGGCCCUGUGCAAGGAUGACUUUGCAAAUUUGUGAAGCAUUCCAUAAUUUU